rnacentral:snRNA from 1 species
AUCGCUUCUCGGCCUUUUGGCUAAGAUCAAAGUGUAGUAUCUGUUCUUAUCAGCUUAAUAUCUGAUAGCACCCUAUCAGGGUGCCAGUAUAUUAAACUCAUUUUUGGAACUUGACGGAGUGCUAGGGGCUUGCUCCACCUCUGUCACGGGUUGGCCCGUCAUUGCAGUACCGACGGGAUUCGGCCCACCU